rnacentral:rRNA from 1 species
ACUCCUACGGGAGGCAGCAGUGGGGAAUCUUGGACAAUGGGGGCAACCCUGAUCCAGCCAUGCCGCGUGAGUGAUGAAGGCCUUAGGUCGUAAAGCUCUUUCGCCUGUGAUGAUAAUGACAGUAGCAGGUAAAGAAACCCCGGCUAACUCCGUGCCAGCAGCCGCGGUAAUACGGAGGGGUUAGCGUUGUUCGGAAUUACUGGGGCGUAAAGCGCGCGUAGGCGGAUUAGUCAGUUAGAGGUGAAAUCCCAGGGCUCAACCCUGGAACUGCCUUUAAUACUGCUAGUCUUGAGUUCGAGAGAGGUGAGUGGAAUUCCGAGUGUAGAGGUGAAAUUCGUAGAUAUUCGGAGGAACACCAGUGGCGAAGGCGGCUCACUGGCUCGAUACUGACGCUGAGGUGCGAAAGUGUGGGGAGCAAACAGGAUUAGAUACCCUGGUAGGAUACAG